UACGUAGGGGGCAAGCGUUGUCCGGAAUCAUUGGGCGUAAAGCGCGUGUAGGCGGCUCGAUCAGUCUGCUGUGAAAGUCAAAGGCUCAACCUUUGAAUGCCGGUGGAUACUGUCGAGCUAGAGUCCGGAAGAGGCGAGUGGAAUUCCUGGUGUAGCGGUGGAAUGCGCAGAUAUCAGGAGGAACACCAACGGCGAAGGCAGCUCGCUGGGACGGUACUGACGCUAAGGCGCGAAAGCGUGGGGAGCGAACAGG
rnacentral:rRNA from 1 species